GACGAACGCUGGCGGCGUGCUUAACACAUGCAAGUCGAACGGAAAGGCCCUGCUUUUGUGGGGUGCUCGAGUGGCGAACGGGUGAGUAACACGUGAGUAACCUGCCCUUGACUUUGGGAUAACUUCAGGAAACUGGGGCUAAUACCGGAUAGGAGCUCCUGCUGCAUGGUGGGGGUUGGAAAGUUUCGGCGGUUGGGGAUGGACUCGCGGCUUAUCAGCUUGUUGGUGGGGUAGUGGCUUACCAAGGCUUUGACGGGUAGCCGGCCUGAGAGGGUGACCGGCCACAUUGGGACUGAGAUACGGACCAGACUCCUACGGGAGGCAGCAGUGGGGAAUAUUGCACAAUGGGCGGAAGCCUGAUGCAGCAACGCCGCGUGCGGGAUGACGGCCUUCGGGUUGUAAACCGCUUUCGCCUGUGACGAAGCGUGAGUGACGGUAAUGGGCAAAGAAGCACCGGCUAACUACGUG
rnacentral:rRNA from 1 species